ACUCCUACGGGAGGCAGCAGUGGGAAUCUUAGACAAUGGGGGAAACCCUGAUCUAGCCAUGCCGCGUGAGCGAUGAAGGCCUUAGGGUUGUAAAGCUCUUUCAGCGGGAAGAUAAUGACGGUACCCGCAGAAGAAGCCCCGGCUAACUCCGUGCCAGCAGCCGCGGUAAUACGGAGGGUGCGAGCGUUAAUCGGAAUUACUGGGCGUAAAGCGCAUGCAGGCGGCCUGUUAAGUCAGAUGUGAAAGCCCGGGCUUAACCUCGGAAUUGCAUUUGAAACUGGCAGGCUAGAGUCUUGUAGAGGGGGGUAGAAUUUCAGGUGUAGCGGGUGAAAAUGCGUAGAGAUCUGAAAGGAAUACCAGUGGCGAAA
rnacentral:rRNA from 1 species